UAACAGAGUGGAUCAGUCAGGAGACUGACAGAAAGACUUCCAAUCUUCAUUUAGAGACUGCCAGUGACACUGAGUCCACCACAUCCUUAGAUCAUUCAUAAAGACUAUUGAAUAGCACUGGGCAUAACUGAAUAGCAUUGAGUGGGAUUCGACUUGAAACAACCCCAUAGGACGAUGAUUCCCCAUUUACAGUCACUUUUGGAGAUCUAACAAUUGGUCAGUUUUUAAUCCCUGGAUUCAGGAGGGCUCCUCCAGGACUUGGAUCCACCAGGUUUAGCAAUGCUUUGCAUUGCUAAUCAGAGUGCAGGCCAGGACCAGGACUACUAUAUUUAAAUGUCUGACAUAUAUUUCAACACUUUAUGCUCAAUGGCUGUUUAUUUCAUGUGACUUGGCAUGUCACUGUAAUUUUG